rnacentral:rRNA from 1 species
AAUCCCGUGAACCAUCGAGUCUUUGAACGCAAGUUGCGCCCCAAGCCUUUUGGCCGAGGGCACGUCUGCCUGGGUGUCACAAAUCGUCGUCCCCAUCCUUUGCGGAUAAGGGACGGAAGUUGGUCUCCCGUGUGUUACCGCACGCGGUUGGCCUAAAUCUGAG